CGAACGGGAUUCAAAGUAGCAAUAUUUUGAUGAGAGUGGCGCACGGGUGAGUAACACGUAUGCAAUAUACCUUUAACUGGGGGAUAGCCCUCCGAAAGGAGAUUAAUACCGCAUAAUAUAUUGAAAUGGCAUCAUUUUAAUAUUAAACCUACGGGGGUUAAAGAUGAGCAUGCAUCCGAUUAGCUAGUUGGUUUGGUAACGGCUCACCAAGGCAACGAUCGGUAGGGGGUCUGAGAGGAUGAUCCCCCACACUGGUACUGAGACACGGACCAGACUCCUACGGGAGGCAGCAGUAGGGAAUAUUGGACAAUGGAGGCAACUCUGAUCCAGCCAUGCCGCGUGAAGGAUUAAGGCCCUAUGGGUUGUAAACUUCUUAUAGACGGGACAAAACCCCUUUACGUGUAAAGGGUUGAUGGUACUGUCAUAAUAAGCAUCGGCUAACUUCGUGCCAGCAGCCGCGGUAAUACGAAGGAUGCAGGCGUUAUCCGGAAUUAUUGGGUUUAAAGGGUGCGUAGGCGGACUAAUAAGUCAGUGGAGAAAGCCUGCAGCUUAACUGCAGAAUUGCCGUUGAUACUGUUAGUCUUGAGUACAGUUGAGGUAGGCGGAAUGUGUCAUGUAGCGGUGAGAUGCUUAGAUAUGACACAGAACACCGAUGGCGAAGGCAGCUUGCUAAGCUGUAACUGACGCUGAGGCACGAAAGCGUGGGGAGCAAACAGGAUUAGAUACCCUGGUAGUCCACGCCCUAUACGAUGAUAACUCGCUGUUGGCGAUACACUGUCAGCAGCCAAGCGAAGGCAUUAAGUUAUCCAC
rnacentral:rRNA from 1 species